rnacentral:lncRNA from 1 species
GUUAGGUUUUGCCAUUGUUGUAAGAGAUGAAGACAUGGACUGUUUCUGAUUGAGCUCAUUAGCUGACAGAGCCUACCAUACGAUGUUACAUAGGUUGAUGAACUGAAAGAUACCGACAAGCAUAACAUAUAUGUACAUAUAGUUUGACCUAAAAUAAUCACUAAUAAUCAACACUCCAUCAAAUCUCAACAAUCAAGUUUAGGAAAAGCAUGCUAGCACUGUAUUACAGACACAAUAGUGAAUAGAAGCUGACAAAUUAUU